rnacentral:rRNA from 1 species
CCUACGGGGGGCUGCAGUGGGGAAUAUUGGACAAUGGGGGGAACCCUGAUCCAGCCAUGCCGCGUGUGUGAAGAAGGCCCUCGGGUUGUAAAGCACUUUCAGUGAGGAAGAACGCCUGGUGGUUAAUACCCAUCAGGAAAGACAUCACUCACAGAAGAAGCACCGGCUAACUCCGUGCCAGCAGCCGCGGUAAUACGGAGGGUGCGAGCGUUAAUCGGAAUUACUGGGCGUAAAGCGCGCGUAGGUGGCUUGAUAAGCCGGUUGUGAAAGCCCCGGGCUCAACCUGGGAACGGCAUCCGGAACUGUCAAGCUAGAGUGCAGGAGAGGAAGGUAGAAUUCCCGGUGUAGCGGUGAAAUGCGUAGAGAUCGGGAGGAAUACCGGUGGCGAAGGCGGCCUUCUGGACUGACACUGACACUGAGGUGCGAAAGCGUGGGUAGCAAACAGGAUUAGAUACCCGAGUAGUC